rfam:Myotis lucifugus cont2.28331, whole genome shotgun sequence.
GCAAUAUGCUUUCUCUUUAGAUCAUUUAAAUAUUUUACCUUUUGCUAAAGAUUUCUGUGGAGAGGAACAACGCAGUGGUUACAAAAUAAUCAUGGGCAUAUAAAGUACGGCAUAG